rnacentral:lncRNA from 1 species
CAAUCUCAAAAGUUUUGCACUAUCUUCAUCAAGAUAGUGUGAAGCAAAAUCAAUUUAUGGUGCCAACAAAAGCUUCAUCAAUGGAGGACAAAUAUCAAUCUCAAAAGUUUUGCACUAUCUUCAUCAAGAUAGUGUGAAGUAAAAUCAAUUUAUUGUGCCAACAAAAGCUUCAUCAAUGGAGGACAAAUAUCAAUCUCAAAAGCUUU